CGCGUAGGCGGACAGUUAAGUCGGGGGUGAAAGCCCGGGGCUCAACCUCGGAAUUGCCUUCGAUACUGGCUGUCUUGAGUACGGGAGAGGUGUGUGGAACUCCGAGUGUAGAGGUGAAAUUCGUAGAUAUUCGGAAGAACACCAGUGGCGAAGGCGACACACUGGCCCGUUACUGACGCUGAGGCGCGAAAGCGUGGGGAGCAAACAGGAUUAGAUACCCUGGUAGUCCACGCCGUAAACGAUGAGUGCUAGUUGUCGGCAUGCAUGCAUGUCGGUGACGCAGCUAACGCAUUAAGCACUCCGCCUGGGGAGUACGGUCGCAAGAUUAAA
rnacentral:rRNA from 1 species